rnacentral:tRNA from 1 species
GUGGGUAUAGCUCAGUGGUAGAGCACAUGCUUAGUAUGCAUGAGGUCCUGGGUUCAGUUCCCAGUACCUUCA